UACGUAGGGUGCAAGCGUUGUCCGGAAUUAUUGGGCGUAAAGAGCUCGUAGGCGGUUUGUUGCGUCGGCUGUGAAAACCUGAGGCUCAACCUCAGGCCUGCAGUCGAUACGAGCAGACUAGAGUGUUGCAGGGGAGACUGGAAUUCCUGGUGUAGCGGUGAGAUGCGCAGAUAUCAGGAGGAACACCGGUGGCGAAGGCGGGUCUCUGGGCAACAACUGACGCUGAGGAGCGAAAGCGUGGGGAGCGAACAGG
rnacentral:rRNA from 1 species